UGGGGAAUUUNNNNNNAAUGGGCGCAAGCCUGAUCCAGCCAUGCCGCGUGUCUGAAGAAGGCCUUCGGGUUGUAAAGGACUUUUGUCAGGGAAGAAAAGGCUGUUGCUAAUAUCGACAGCUGAUGACGGUACCUGAAGAAUAAGCACCGGCUAACUACGUGCCAGCAGCCGCGGUAAUACGUAGGGUGCGAGCGUUAAUCGGAAUUACUGGGCGUAAAGCGAGCGCAGACGGUUACUUAAGCAGGAUGUGAAAUCCCCGGGCUCAACCUGGGAACUGCGUUCUGAACUGGGUGACUAGAGUGUGUCAGAGGGAGGUAGAAUUCCACGUGUAGCAGUGAAAUGCGUAGAGAUGUGGAGGAAUACCGAUGGCGAAGGCAGCCUCCUGGGAUAACACUGACGUUCAUGCUCGAAAGCGUGGGUAGCAAACAGGAUUAGAUACCCUGGUANUCCACGCCCUAAACGAUGUCAAUUAGCUGUUGGGCAAACUUGAUUGCUUANUAGCGUAGCUAACGCGUGAAAUUGACCGCCUGGGGAGUACGGUCGCAAGAUUA
rnacentral:rRNA from 1 species